rnacentral:rRNA from 1 species
GACGUAGGGCGCGAGCGUUGUCCGGAUUUAUUGGGCGUAAAGAGCUCGUAGGCGGCUUGUCGCGUCGGCUGUGAAAUCCCGAGGCUCAACCUCGGGUCUGCAGUCGAUACGAGCAAACUAGAGUGUUGCAGGGGAGACUGGAAUUCCUGGUGUAGCGGUGAAAUGCGCAGAUAUCAGGAGGAACACCGGUGGCGAAGGCGGGUCUCUGGGCAACAACUGACGCUGAGGAGCGAAAGCGUGGGGAGCGAACAGG